UAUUGCAGGAAUAGUGGAGCAUCGUGUUUCGGACGAGUUCUCUGACCAGCCAUUGCUUGUAAACGUGAUCUCAUUGUGGCUCGAACAUUAAACUCCUACUGGGGAACGCAGGUUAGGAACAACACUCACCUCUCCAUUAACUUAUAUAUAUGCAUGGAUUUCAGCUUAAUUUGUCUUUUAAUUAGAUUAAGCAGUGUGUAGGAUCCUUUGGUGCUAGGAUUUCGGUUUGUUUGAUUGAGAUAUAAUGCUGCUGAUUUUAUUUUUUCCCCUUCUUGGAAGCUAUUUUUGAGAUGCGGUUUUGGAGAGAGUUUUAAUUUUCAAGGGUGUUUAGUUGAGCUUAUAAGCUCUUUAAAACAAUUUGGUUAUUUAAGAGUUUAUAAGUUUUUGAAAAGUAUUUGAUAAAAUAAGUUUUCACCGAAUGUAAAAGCAUGCUAGAUAUGUUCAGCUCUUAAUACAUUUGAUCAAGUCAAUUUUGUAUGAUCGCUGCAGCAAUGGAUAGAUCUGGCACGGUACACAGGGCUGCAGGCUAGUAAGAAGGAAGAAUUAUCAUUUCAACCGGCUCCAGAUGCGUCCAAUUCUGCUGCAAUGGAGUGUAAAAUCUUAGAAGAUACCAACAUUGAUGAAGCCAACACGCAGUAGACUUUAUAUCUUUGGUGACUAUAUUGAGAGAAAUGUUUUGCAGAUUACAUAUAGUUUCUCUCAAAGUUUUGGCAACCUCAUAGUGUACAGAUGGUUUAAAUCACUCGGAAAUGAAGACCACACACCAUACUUUCAUUGAAUCUUAAUUAAACGAAGUGCGUACUGUUUACAUAAUUGUUUAGUUACUAAUCAUCAUUUCUCUAGCUUCCGUGAUAUUACAAAAACCACGCGUUAGAAAUAUGAUACUUGUUUCAGCAUAAAAUUAUACUCUCUCCGUCUAUUAAUU
rnacentral:lncRNA from 1 species